rnacentral:lncRNA from 1 species
AAACAAGUCGUAUAAGCCGAGAACUUUUCGCGGACUUUACAUCGAUACGAAUCAGGAAGAAAUCGCGACAGGAAAAACGAUAGCCGGUUAGUCGCCGCACAAUCCUUAAACCGAAAGUAAACCUAGGUCUUGCCCUAAACCCAGCGCACUGGUCUCUAACAUCUCAAAGGCAUGAUAUCGAAAGAUAAGAGAUUCUUAAACCACGCCUCUAUGUUACGUUCGAUACCUUCAGCACCCCCGCGGAGUUCACAUCUCGCGGAAGAACUCUCGAAACAGGUCUCGAAUAAAACAUUUCACAAUCGAAGAAGGAUAUGAGACGACAACUCAUCACCUUCCUCCCCACUAUUCACAAAUUCAUAAAAAGCAUUAUCCGAUUAUCAUAUUAUAAAGCCGCAGAGCGGCAGGGAUUCAAAGCCACACACGGCCAGUCCCGAAAUACAAACAAGGCCAUUCAAGGCCGAAACAUAAAGACAUAAAAAAAAAAAAAAAUCUCUCGCAAGAGAUUUAACCCAAAUCACCCUCAGAACUUACGCCCCCUCUUCACCCGCCGCCUCGUCCGAGCCUGGAGCCGCGUCACUUCCAUUCUCUCCGACCAUCGGAUCUUUCCCCUCUGGGUCUUCUGAACACGUCGGAAGGAAGCAAGCGGAUUUUAGGUCGGCCAGGAUAAGACCGAAAUCUCCAUCCUCGGCCGCCAUAUCUCCUUUGCAGCCGGACAGUCGGGCCUCUUCGGCCUCCAAGGUCGGGGGAGUCUCACUUUGGAACGACCGAACCACGGCCAUCCCGCCCUCAAUCGUCGCCAAAGCGAAAUCCCUGCUCCGGAUACACUCGAGGAGAUCCAGGGAAGCGGAAAUCUUCGCCAAGCGAGCCUG